UACGUAGGGUGCGAGCGUUAAUCGGAAUUACUGGGCGUAAAGCGUGCGCAGGCGGUUAUAUAAGACAGAUGUGAAAUCCCCGGGCUCAACCUGGGAACUGCAUUUGUGACUGUAUAGCUAGAGUACGGUAGAGGGGGAUGGAAUUCCGCGUGUAGCAGUGAAAUGCGUAGAUAUGCGGAGGAACACCGAUGGCGAAGGCAAUCCCCUGGACCUGUACUGACGCUUAUGCACGAAAGCGUGGGGAGCAAACAGG
rnacentral:rRNA from 1 species